GAUGAAGAACGCAGCGAAAUGCGAUAAGUAAUGUGAAUUGCAGAAUUCAGUGAAUCAUCGAAUCUUUGAACGCACAUUGCGCCCCUUGGUAUUCCGAGGGGCAUGCCUGUUCGAGCGUCAUUAUAACCCCUCAAGCUCAGCUUGGUGUUGGGGCCUGCUGCACUGGCAGCCCUUAAAAUCAGUGGCGGCGCCAUCUGGCUCUAAGCGUAGUAAUUCUUCUCGCUAUGGAGUCCUGGUGGAUGCUUGCCAUCAACCCCCAAUUUUUCUAUGGUUGACCUCGCAUCAGGUAGGGAUACCCGCUGAACUUAAGCAUAUCAAUAAGCGGAGGA
rnacentral:misc_RNA from 1 species